rnacentral:rRNA from 1 species
GAUGAACGCUGGCGGCGUGCCUAAUACAUGCAAGUCGAGCGAACAGAUGAGAAGCUUGCUUCUCUGAUGUUAGCGGCGGACGGGUGAGUAACACGUGGGUAACCUACCUAUAAGACUAGGAUAACUCCGGGAAACCGGGGCUAAAACCGGAUAAUAUUUUGAACCGCAUGGUUCGAUAGUGAAAGACGGUUUCGGCUGUCACUUAUAGAUGGACCCGCGCCGUAUUAGCUAGUUGGUAAGGUAACGGCUUACCAAGGCGACGAUACGUAGCCGACCUGAGAGGGUGAUCGGCCACACUGGAACUGAGACACGGUCCAGACUCCUACGGGAGGCAGCAGUAGGGAAUCUUCCGCAAUGGGCGAAAGCCUGACGGAGCAACGCCGCGUGAGUGAUGAAGGUCUUCGGAUCGUAAAACUCUGUUGUUAGGGAAGAACAAAUUUGUUAGUAACUGAACAAGUCUUGACGGUACCUAACCAGAAAGCCACGGCUAACUACGUGCCAGCCGCCGCUGUAA